rnacentral:rRNA from 1 species
UACGGAGGAUGCGAGCGUUAUCCGGAUUUAUUGGGUUUAAAGGGUGCGUAGGCGGUAUUUUAAGUUAGUGGUAAAACGUCGGGGCUACACCUUGAUUGGCCAUUAAAACUGGAGUACUAGAGUACAGACGAGGUAGGCGGAAUAAGUUAAGUAGCGGUGAAAUGCUUAGAUAUAACUUAGAACCCCGAUAGCGAAGGCAGCUUACCAGACUGUUACUGACGCUGAAGCACGAGAGCGUGGGUAGCGAACAGG